UUAUGUUUCAAGGUUAUUUAUUUAGCACCAACAGUUCUUAUCAGUUUAAUAUCUGAUAUGUUCUCUAUCUGAGAACUUUAUAUUAAAUAGAUUUUUGGAACAGGGAGAGGCAAUAGGAGCACCACUAGGGGUAAGCAAGAGGCAAUCCAUCUACCCACCAUGCCCCUCCCUGCAGCAGCUGCUUCCUUG
rnacentral:snRNA from 1 species